rnacentral:rRNA from 1 species
UACGUAGGGGGCCAGCGUUGCUCGGAAUUACUGGGCGUAAAGGGUUCGUAGGUGGUGCGGCAAGUUGGGAGUGAAAUCUCUGGGCUUAACCCAGAGGCUGCUUUCAAAACUGCCAUGCUAGAGUGCGGGAGAGGCCAGUGGAAUUGCAGGUGUAGCGGUGAAAUGCGUAGAUAUCGAGAGGAACACCUGCGGCGAAGGCGGGUUGCUGGGCUGAUACUGACGCUGAUGCGCGAAAGCCAGGGGAGCGAACGGG